rnacentral:lncRNA from 1 species
AUCCUCAAUUCCAAAUUAGUUGAUUUCUUUUAAAUGGUAAAAUUUGACUCAUAAUGAAAAGAAUCUCCCACGGGGCCAAAGCCUUGCGAACCCAAAGAAGAUGGGACAAAAUACACUAGUAAUUUCUUUCCAUCUAAUCUUGGUAGACAUAGUUACCUAGCACAUUUUGCUAGUAGAAGAUGGGUGGUGACAGAUAUCUAGUGGAAUUAGUUGAGGUGAGUGAAACCUGGCCCUUACACCAAGGUUAUCGAAGUGACACCAUGGUUAUCAAAAUUGAGGUGAGCAAAAGGCUAGCCCAGACACCACGGUUAUCAAGGUAAGGUGAGCAAAAGCUGGCCCAAACACCACGGUUAUCAAAGUCAAGGUGAGCAAAAGUUGGCCCAAACAUCAUGGUUAUCUAAGUCAAGGUGACUUAAAGCUGGCCCAAGACAUCACAGUUAUCAAAACCGAGGCUAGGAAAGCUACCCUGAACACCACGGUUAUUAAAAAAACUACUUUACAUGGUAGAAUUUGACUCAUAAUGAACAAAUCUCUCGGGGCCAAAUCUAUCCUAGCCUUGGUGGACAAAGCUACCCAGUACUUGUUGCUGGUGAUGGGAGCUGACAGUUAUCAAGAGGAAUUAGCUGAGGUGAGAAAAAGCUAGGCCAAGAAACACAAUUAUCAAACUCAAGGUCAGCAAAAGCUGGCCGAGACACUACGAUUAUCAAACUCAAGGUCAACAAAAGCUGGCCGAGACACUACGGUUAUCAAAGCCGUGUGAGCCAAAGCUGGCCCAAACACCACAAUUAUCAAAGUCUAGCUGAGCUAAAGCUAUCCCGAACACCACAAUUAUCAAAUUCAAGAUAAGCAAAAGCUGACCCGAACACCACAAUUAUCCAAAAAAAAAAAAAAAACUAUAUUCAUACGCAACCAACCCUAAUCUAACUAAUUCCCACUACAUAAAC